AUUCUGUGACCGUGUGGCAUAGAAUUUUUGGCACAGUUCACAGAGGUCCUACUUGUUAACAGCCUCUUGUUGCCCACCACUUCCAGAGAGCAAACCAUGGGAGUUUUUCAGUCCGAAGUGAGCAGCCUUGAAAUCUGUGGCCGGCUGUCUUUGAGGGCAGUUGCUGGGAAAGAAGCUAGCUGCUGUCUAGACCCCGGGGCCCACGGCGGGCUGGGGAUCAUGUGCAAUCGGUCCAGCAAUGGUCGGUUCGAGGCCCUCUCUUGGGCAUCCCUGUGGCUAUAUCCAACUUCAAGAGCUCAAAAGGCUCAUUCCCAUUGGAAUCAGAUGGGGACCCAGGCGAGGAGCAGGGGCUGGGUUGAUAUUCCAGUGCGCAGAGAGGAAAAUGAGGCUCAAGGUCGCAAAGCGAGUAACAGAGCAGCCAGUCCGGGACUCAGAACUCAGCCUCGUGACUCCUGGUCCAGUGCUCUUUUCAGAGCUUCUCCUCGUAAAUGGUGAGGAUUUCGGUAAUCCAUCCAUCUCCCUUCAACCUCCUGCACUGUUGCUG
rnacentral:lncRNA from 1 species